AUUGAACGCUGGCGGCAGGCCUAACACAUGCAAGUCGAGCGGAUGAAGGGAGCUUGCUCCUGGAUUCAGCGGCGGACGGGUGAGUAAUGCCUAGGAAUCUGCCUGGUAGUGGGGGAUAACGUCCGGAAACGGGCGCUAAUACCGCAUACGUCCUGAGGGAGAAAGUGGGGGAUCUUCGGACCUCACGCUAUCAGAUGAGCCUAGGUCGGAUUAGCUAGUUGGUGGGGUAAAGGCCUACCAAGGCGACGAUCCGUAACUGGUCUGAGAGGAUGAUCAGUCACACUGGAACUGAGACACGGUCAAGACUCCUACGGGAGGCAGCAGUGGGGAAUAUUGGACGAAGGGCGAAAGAAUAAUCCAGCCAUGCCGCGAGUGUGAAGAAGGUAUUCGGAUUGUAAAGCACUUUAAGUUGGGAGGAAGGGCAGUAAGUUAAUACCUUGCUGUUUUGACGUUACCAACAGAAUAAGCACCGGCUAACUACGUG
rnacentral:rRNA from 1 species